AGAUGUGAGCGCCAUCUGGCUGACGUCUGUCACCCCACCAUCACCGGGGUGAUUUGGCUGAUCUGACUGGCUAGCAAGCGUCCCUUCCUCCCCCAGCGUUCCGCAUGAGGCCCUCCCAAAGCUCCGCCACGUUCCAAGCUCUCUGGUCAGAUGCAUAUGAAUAGCUGCUCUCCCUUGUUAGAACCUCCUCUCAAGGUCCAUUUGUAGAAUGGGGAGUAGCCAAAUUUCCAUGACUCCACACAUGUCCAGAUGAGGCACUGCAGGUCAAGUCUGCCUCCCCCU
rnacentral:snRNA from 1 species